AACCCUUCUUGACCUUUUGGCUAAGAUCAAGUGUACUGUCUGUUCUUAUCAGUUUAAUAAAAUACAUCCUCUAUUUGAGGACAAUAUAGUAAAUGGAUUUUUAGAUCAGGGAGGUGGAAUAGGAGCUUGCUCCGUUCACUCUUCUGGAAAAAAGAAAGAAUAGCUGAGAUUUACAUAGCACUUUUGUGCCAGCUCUUCU